ensembl:lncRNA
GAAACAGUCUUUGCUAGUUGGAUUUAGUUUCAGCGAGUCUAGUGCACGUACCAUUGCUGUUUCUGAAAUUCCCCAUCUGGGGCUCUGAAUACAACACUUUUUGGAUCUGAACUGCAGUGGCUAGGGAGAAAUGCGUGCCUUCUCUUCAGUGAUGUGCGCCUGCAGGCUUUUUCUUCCUCCUACGGGACGGAAACCUAAGCAUCCCUGAGUGUCCUAAACCGCCCACCGAGACCUCCAGGAAGCAGAGGUGGCCGGAAAUCUCAUCACAGUCGUGGGGACCCUGCAGGCUGUAAGGACAGAUGGGCAUCCUGCUCUUCAUUUGGCCCACGGAGUCGCCUUAGAGAGCUGGGCACGUUAGGCGACAGCUCCAGAAGUUGUUUCUUAACUUUAGACGCUACUCCAAUUCAAUUUGUUCACCAACCUCAUCUCGGGCGGGACCUAAUGCUUUGUGUAUUCGCAUCAGCCAUUGAUGGACUAGAGACCCAAUUGUCUGCUCGGACGCUCCAUUCCUCCGUGUGAAAAGGGGGUGGAUGAAAGCAAGAGGACCCCUCUAUUCGUCAAUCAGGUGCCAGCCAAGAGCCGAAGAACUUGUACAGGGGUCAAGAAUACCCACAACACUCACAAGACCUUCAGGAACAGUCAUCUCCCCCUGGGGCAGAUAAAGUACCAGACGGAGGAGCUAGAUUCCAUCCGGAGGGAGCUGAGCAAGAUCAAAGCCCGGGUGGACAGCCUGUUGGAGAGUCUGGAGUCCAUGGAGCAGCAGAGGGACCAGCGCGUGAGUCAGGUGAAGAAUCUCGCAUCAGACCAGAAUAGCCAGUAGGAGGUGGGGAACCUUCCAGACUUUCUUCACUGGUACUCUUGGG